rnacentral:sRNA from 1 species
UGUAUAUUUAUAUGUGUGUAUGAUUCUGCUCUGUGCCUGUAUAGUUCUAACAAUUUCUUUAUAUAACUUUUGUAAUUCUGCUCUGCAUAUAUAUAGUCUCUAAUAAUUUCUCUGUAUAAUCUCUAAUAUUCUUUUAUUUCACUCACUCUUCUAUAAGAACCUCUUCAUAUAAUCUUUUCUUUCAAUCUCUUUUUCAUCUUGUUGCAUUUGGCGUCGGAGAUAGAGCGCAUUGGGCGCUAUUUAUUCCCAACAGAAUGGCCGACCCGAACGGAACCCUUGUGCGCAUUGGAAUAAAUGGCUGUGACGCAAAAUCUGGUGGAGGUGACGUGGAGUUACUUAUCAACCAGUUCCAACUCUCGCGCAGUUCUGCAAAGAGUGUCGUGCCCCUUGUAGGGUCACAUGCAACAUGCGGUGAAGUUGAGGAUGCGGCGAGAGCAUGCUUCGAGAGUUUCAAUUACAACAUCCUCCUCGACAACUGUCAAACUUUCACAAUUGAUGUCUUGACAGAAUUGCGACGAAGAUUCCCCUCUCGGAUCCAGCAAGCUUCGAUAAGUCUUAUCCGGGAACAGUACGGAACAACACCAGUCAAAAUCCAGCAAUUUCUCGACGGAAACAAACAACAAAGCACUAAAGGGCACCAUCCUAAGUUCAGGGCCACGAUUCCC